rnacentral:tRNA from 1 species
GACACUAUAGCCAAGUGGUUAAGGCGACAGAUUAGAACCGAAUGGCUCACAAUCUGUUUCCCUCUGGGAGCGUAGGUUCGAACCCUACUGGUGUCG